rnacentral:rRNA from 1 species
UACGUAGGGUGCGAGCGUUGUCCGGAAUUAUUGGGCGUAAAGGGCUCGUAGGCGGUCUGUCGCGUCGGGAGUGAAAACUCAGGGCUUAACCCUGAGCCUGCUUCCGAUACGGGCAGACUAGAGGUAUGCAGGGGAGAACGGAAUUCCUGGUGUAGCGGUGGAAUGCGCAGAUAUCAGGAGGAACACCGGUGGCGAAGGCGGUUCUCUGGGCAUUACCUGACGCUGAGGAGCGAAAGUGUGGGGAGCAAACGGG